rnacentral:lncRNA from 1 species
CCAUAUAAGUUUUGCCUUUUUCGCUUUUCACAAUUGAAUUUUAAUAAUUUUGAGUUUGAUCAUCAUCCUCGUCCUCGCUUCAAAAUCAAGCAAAGCAUCGCAUAAUUUAGUUCCUCACCAUCAAUCAGAAACCCCAACUUUUCAAAUUAAAAAAUUAUAAUAAAAAAAUAUGGAGAGGGUGAUGAACAUAAUAAAGCCAAAGCCAAAUCCACAACAGCAAUUAGAGAUUGGCAGCGCAAUCUUCGUCAAGAGUGCCGCAACAUCGAACGACAAAUUCGAGGUAUUUUUUUAACUUACCCUAAUUUAAUUUUUACCAUAAUUUUCAAUUUUCUUCGAACUUUUGGGUUGUGGGUUAAUUUCUAUGAUGAUUUAGGUUCAUGGAUCAAGAAAUCGGUUUAAUGGGUAGUUUUAAUUUUGGUUAUUUUGCAAUGGGUUUUCUUCAGAUAUACAAAGAGAAGAGAAAAGUGUGCAGAAAGCAAUCAAAGAGCCCGCUGGCUGGCUGGUUGAUCUUGGCCAGCUCGCUGGCCUACUUUGAGAUUCUUGGCUGAGUGGGAUCCACAAACCCUUUGGCCUAAUCCUCGGUUGAAGAUGAUUUUCGUGUCAAAACGGGUUAUUUUUAGCCCUAUAGUCCUUUGGUAGAGUCGGUUAGAGAUGGCUAAACCAGAGUAUCAGUAGGCAUUCAUUUCACAUAUCCAAACCACCAUAACUAAUUUUCUUUCAUCUUUUCUUCAAAUGCGGCUACUCCUACUUUACCUCGGAUAUCCUCUUUCCCAAUGGCGAAGCUAGAAAUUAUUGAGGGGAGGGGCGAAAUUUGAAGGGUAAAAAAUUGUUGUCGACGAGGUUUCAUGUCAUGAAAACAUUCCAUAAUAUGCUCAUUCACUGCAUAAUGAAACAUUAUUAGUUAGGGUAAAAUGCUGUAGGAAAAGGUAUUGAGCCGUCGAAAAAACUUUUCGAGGAAAAAAUUUGCCGUUGAUCGUCGCAAAUUCUUCUAUUUGAAAUACUUUUUUUUUUCUUUUCUGAUUAAUCAUCCAUAAAAACACAUUUUCGACACCAAUCACCCUUCAAUUUCAGUUAAAUGCUUGUCGAAGUCGAAUUUUAAAAAGAUUAAUAAUCCUAAAUUAAAGAGGUUUUUUGUCAAUCGGGUGCAAAUAUAGUUUACAAGUUAGCUCAUAUAAGGUUCUCAAGCUCACAAUAUCAUCAAUUUAAUAAAUUAUCAUACAAUUAGGCCGAAGAUAAAAAUUAAUACACUUAUAAUAUAUCUUAUGAUGCAUUAUGAGAAUUUUAAAACUUCGUGAACUAUUUUAAAAAUCAUUCCAAAUGUGAACAAUGUAAAUUGUAGUUGACUUAUUUUUUUAAGGUAAGCUCCAAAUACAUACGACUCUUCAUUUUUUUUACUCAUUUGAAAAGAUUAAAAUGAACACUACCAAUUAUCGAAUAUUUACACAUAUAAGAGAUUGAAUUAUGUGCUAACUAUUACUUUACAUUAGGUGAUUGUAGACUAAAAUUUAUAUUCAUGUAUACAAAAUUAAAUACAUUGCCAAUAUAAUUUAACAAGUUAGAACUUGAGGGUAUAUAUAUUUGUGAAGUGUGAGUUUUGGGGCAUAUUUUGCUGCUCUCGUAAAAGGGACGGGGUGUAAGUGAGUGUGAAGAAGAAAUGGGGAACCAGUGGUCCCCACUAUAAUCAUUUUUUUAAAUCUCAAUAAAGCAAAACGGUGUAGUUUCGCCUAAGAACUUUCAAAAAAAUUAUAACCCUUCAUUGCUGCUGCUGUGUACAACAACAAAGAAACCAGAGUAGUAGCAGGGACUCCAUCAUUUCUGACGGCACCAGAGGGGUGGAACCAUCGCUCCUGGGCUUGAUUCUAGUGAGGGGAGGGGCGUCCGCCCCUCUUCGCUCCUCUGUAGCUUCGCCUAUGCUCAUUCCUAAUCUUAUCCUUGCUCGUGUGCUCACAAAUCCAACGAAGCAUUCUUAUAUCCGCUACACCCAUUUUAUGUACAUGUUGAAGCUUCACCACAUAACAUUCCAUGCCAUAAAUCAUUGCCAGCCUCAUUGCCAUCCUAUAAAGUUUUCCCUUGAGCUUCAAUGACAUACGACAACCACAUAACACGCCGGAUACACUCUUCCACUUCGUCCAUCCAACUUGUAUUCUAUGAUUAAGGUCUCCAUCCAACUCUCCGUUCUUUUGCAAGAUAGAUCCAAGGUAGCUAAAGAGGUCGCUUUUUGGUAUUUCUUGAUCUUCAAUCCUCACCCCUAACUUAUUUGAGCCUCUGUUUGCACUGAACUUGCACUUCAUAUACUCUAUCUUUGACCGACUUAGGCGAAGACCUUUAGAUUCCAACACUUAUCUCCAAAGGUUAAGCUUCACAUUUACUCAUUCUUGAGUUUCAUCUAUCAACACUAUAUAGUUUGCGAAAAGUAUACACGAAGGAAUAUCAUCUUCAAUAUGUCCCGUUAACUCAUUCAUUACCAAUGCAAAAAGGUAAGGACUUAAAUGUCACAUUCCGUCUCGGAGAUGUACGUUAAUUAUGUUAUCGACGGUGUGAAAUUACCUAAAUAUCCUUGGAUGUUGAGAAUUAUUAUGGGAUGGGGUGGUUUAAACUUAAGAUUUUGGACCAAUUAAUUAUAUUCCUCUUUUAUUGGAUCCAAUUAGAACUAAGUGUUCUCUUAGUUGUGAUUGGUGUGCAUUUUGGGACCACACACACAUCCCUACCCUCUCUCUUUUCUUUCCCGUACUCUCUCUCUCCUUGCUAUACGUACGGACAAUAGCAAGAACACCUCAAACUUCGCAGAUCAAGGAAGAAAAUGGUACCAUUGUGUUCGUGAGGACCCUACGAGUUCAAAGGUAUCAAUUUCAGGUAAGGAAGCAUUCGAUUUCACGUGGAAACCCUAGCCCCGAUUUUGGUCACUAUUCAUGUAGAUGUAAAUAUGUUGGUUUCAGGGAAUUUCAAGCUCAUAGAGAGCUUUAGGAGGUCCUAAGGAGGCUCGGGGUGGUUCGUUGGAUAAAUUUGGACGUCAGGAUAGCUAGUUUCAAAGUUGACCGGAUUACCGAGCUUCCUCAGGUAAAUUCUAGUGGAUUUCAAGGUUUAAAAAUAGUAUAACGUGAUUCUACAUGUGGUUAGCUUUCCAAUGGUUCAAAUUUCAUGAAAAAUGGUGCAAAAAUAAAGAAGUUAGGACGAUUUUAAUAUUUUUCUAGAAACCGACAAAGUCACCGGCGACCAGCGACUUACCGAAGAAGACAGGGGAAUCUUCCGUUAGUUUUGACGGAAUACGCUAACGCCGUCAGUUAGUUUGGACGGUUACCGUUGGGUUUGAACGGAAUAUUUCGAGGAAUAUUCCUAACGCCGUUCAUGUUCCGUUACAUGUGUCUAGCACAUGGCGGCGCAUGGGAGCUCAAAAAAUUUAUCUAAAAAUUUGGGGAUGAUCUUGAGAUUGUGUAGGUCACUGUGGUGUAUUCAUAUACGCAUUUUGAGCAAUGUAUGAGAAGUCAUUAGCUAGUCUUGUCUAUGUGCUUUAAAAUAACGUUUUUAUAGUUAAUUCGCAUAUAGGUGAGACUUAUCCCGAGGACGAGCAUAUCCACGGACGACUCGGGGGUUACGACCCGUCGACAUACCAGUGAGUGGGCUUUUGUUUUUAGUAUAUAUUUAUAUACUUGAUAUAUUUCCCAAAAAUGCAUUUUUUUUAAGGAAAGUAUGCUUUGAAAUAAUAUGCCAAAUGCUUUUAUAUUCUGAAUAUGCAUUUCAUGUGUAUAUAUAUAUAUAUAUAAAUGUGGUGCUGUGGAGGCACAGGUAAGUUAUGUUUGGCUAUGUGAAUCAUCGAUGAUGUGUUAUGUGAUGGAUUGAUGUUGAGUUCAUAAAACUGCACUUAGGGUGAUUGUGAUUUAGCCAGAGAUAUGAAGUACAUGCCUGUUUAUUUAUGUUACCUCCCGCAUUAUAUGCUCAUAUUGGAUCCAACUUAAGUGCACAGUCUUGUCAUACAGAUCUUAAUUAUGGUUCCGACUCGUAGGUGACUAGCGAUUUAUCGCCCGACUAUUAUGAGAGAGUAAAAUUAAGCAUAACUAUAUUACACCCAAUCUUGUCGUACAUACCUUUUUAGUGGUUCCAACUUAUGUGCAGUAUAUUGCUGUAUAGGUCAUUGUAGUGACUCCGGCUAGAUUGACUUAGAGCUAUGAAUUCAGCCGUACAGACUACCACAGGGGUUCCGGCUAACAUAUCAUAUUUCUAUGAAUUUAUUCUUACCUGAAUUGCUUACUCUGUUAUAUAUUGGCAUGACAUAUAUUUAAAUAUCAUUAUGUGAAGCAUGAAUUGGAUUGAUAUGAUUUCAUAUAUAUAUAUAUAUGCUUAUAUCCUGAUUCUGGGAAAAAUUAUACAUGUUUUACAGCGAGGGGUUAGAUAUGUUGAUAAAUGAAAUGGUUUUGUAAAACAUUUGUUUUUGCCUACUCACGUUUUCUAUUUUGCGCCCCUCCAGGUUUUAAGUAAGCUUGUUGUUGGUGGCUUGAGGACGUCGGUGGUUCUGACCUAUCUAAAUAAUAGUAGGACAUUCCUGGUACUGUAUAACUAGUACUUGUCCUACUGGACUGCACCUAGACUUAUUAUGCUCUGAUUAGGAGUGUUUACUGUUGCAACUAACUCCUAUCACUUCCUAUUUAGUAGUGCACUCUAGUAAUUCAGUUUUUAAUUAUUCGUAUAAUUCUUAUCUUUAUUGCUUCCGCACUGUGCACAUGGCUACGUCACUCUCAUGUGAUGGCCAACAUGCCUUGAUCUCGGUCAGAGUGUGUCAGUUUGGUAUCAGAGCCUAGGUUUAGCAGUCCUAUAUAAUUCUUGAAUAUUCUAAUCCUUGUGAUGUCUUAUGUCAGAACUAUGCCGCCUUGUAGAGAACCCCGUCAAUCAGCUGAAUCUAGUUUCCCUGAUAUUGCUCAAUUAGGGGAAGCUAUAGUUUCUGCCAUUCAGACAGCAUUCCGUACUCCUUAGAUGACACCUCUUGAGACAGUUCAUAAUCUGAAGUUAACUCACUUCAUUGGAAAUGAAGGUCAUGAGGGGGCAGAAAAAUAAGCUGAAUCAUGUGGAGAAGACCUUUCAGGUGAUGUAGAGUCAGGAUAAUCUUUCUUCUGAUAGGUAGGUCGAGACGGCUACCUAGUUUUUGGGAGAACAGCCUGCAUCCUGGUGGAGACAGGAGUCUUACCAGUUGACCCCAGAAGAGAUUAUGGACUGAGGAGUGUUUAAGGAGCUGUUUCGGAAAAAGGUUCAUUACUCAUGCGUAUAUCGAUCUUAAGAAACAGGAGUUUACUCAUCUGAGGCAAGGAAAGAUGUCCGCUAGUGAGUAUUAUAGGAUGUUUACUGAUCUGUCGAGAUAUGAUCUGAAGCUUGCUGCUAAUCCGGUAAAGAUGUUUCGCCGUUUCAGUUUGGGUACUAAGAAGAAAUGGCGUUCCAUAGCGACAUCGACUCACUAUGCCUCUUACCAGGAGUUUUAUGAGAUUCUACUGAGGAUUAAGGAACAUGCCUAGUGAAACUGAGGAUGGGGAAGGAAAGAAUAGGGGCCAGAGAUGAGAUGACAAAGGAAAAGGACAAGCAUUUCAGGGACCCCGCAAGACCCAGAACUUUAAGAGAAGUGGUGGUAGUUCUAGCUCUUCUAGCGAAUGAUUGAGUACUAAUAUGUAAAAGAGAGGUGGUAGAUUCACUAGAGGUAUGAGGUUCCUGACACAAAGAGAUUUUGGUGGUUCAAGUGGAUCUGGUGCUCCUUUAUGCUGCAGGUGUAAUAAUCGAAAUUUUGGGGAGUGUAGAAAAGACAGCAAUGGAUGUUUUACUUGUGGACAGAUGGGUCAUAAAGCUGCCCAAUGCCCUUAGAAUCAGCAGAGACCCCAGCAACCUUCUUUCCCACCACUUGCAUCGACCCAGCAAGCUUCAGGAUCUAAUGGUUAUUCUCAGACUGGACGAGGAGGUGCCUACCACUAUCAGGGCGACGCCGCUCCUUACACCUCAGGACAGCAGCAGUACUCUCAGGAUCUUCAGUAUCAGAGUGGGUAUUCUCAGUAUCGGGGAGGAUCUAUGUCUUACCAGCCACAUCAGCCAGUGGAUCUCAGUGGUACCAAGGGGGACAGCCCCAGCAAGGAGAGAUUGCUGCUAGUAGUGCAAGAUCUUCGAGGCAGUCAAGUCAGCAGAGGCAGGGACGUGGUAUUCAUGCCAACAUAGGUCGUGGUGGACGACAACAGAAUUAGGGGCGUAUCCAUAACAUGUCACUGCAAGACCAGAUUUAAUUAUGGGUACAUUAAAUAUUCUUGGUCAUUUUACUAGAGUAUUGAUUGAUUGUGGUGCUACACAUUCUGUUAUUUCUCAUACAUUUGCUCAAGUGACACAACCUCAUCCUACACCUCUAGGAUAUAAUUUAGAAUUUUCUAUGCCUAGAGGGGAUAGAUAUUUUGUGAAUCGGGUAUAUCCAGGAUGUCCGGUGAUAGUAGAGGAUAUUAUUAUGCCGGCUAAUCUUAUGUCGUUGGAUAUUAUGGAUUUUGAUGUGAUUUUGGGCACUAAUUGGUUGCACUAUAAUCGUGCCAAGAUAGAUUGUUAUAGGAAGACAGUCACAUUUCAUUGUCCUGGAUUACCUGAAGUUACAUUUGUAAAAGAGCCUAGUGGGGUGAGGUAUGUUAUUAUUUCAGCCAUGAAAGCAAAGAGAUUGUUGUCGAAAGGUUGUCAGGGAUAUUUGGCUCAUGUGGUGUUGAAUGAUGAUGCUCCUAGUAGUGUGGAGGAUGUUCAGGUGGUCAGAUAUUUUCCGGAUGUAUUCCCUGAGGAUUUGCCUGGAUUGUCGCCAGAUAGAAAGGUGGAGUUUGUCAUUGAUCUGCUUCUAGGUACGAAUCUCAUAUCCUUAACUCCUUAUAGAAUGGCUCCUGCUGAAUUAAGGGAAUUGAAAGUCCAGUUGCAAGAGUUAGUGGAUAAAGGUUUUAUUCAGCCGAGUACUUCACCUUGGGGAGCUUCAGUUUUAUUUGUGAGGAAGAAAGAUGGAACCUUGAGGCUGUGCAUUGAUUACAAGCAAUUGAAUCGGGUAACCAUUAAGAACCGUUAUCCAUUGCCUUGUAUAGAUGAUUUAUUUGAUCAACUCAAAGGUGCCUGCGUAUUUUCUAAGAUUGACUUGAGGUCAGGAUACUCUCAGUUGAAGAUUAAAAAUGAAGAUGUCCCUAAAACCGCAUUCAGGACUUGAUAUGAUCAUUAUGAGUUUUUUGUGAUGCAAUUCGGGUUAACUAAUGCACCAGUAGCUUUUAUGGAUUUGAUGAAUCAAGUAUUCCAGCCAUAUUUGGACAGGUUUUUUAUUGUCUUCAUUGACGAUAUUCUGGUAUACUCUAAGUCUAAGGCUGAACAUGUUAGACAUCUGAAGUUGGUGUUGAGUAGUUUGAGGGAACAUCAACUAUAUGCUAAGUUUAGCAAAUGUGAAUUCUGGUUGAAUCAAGUGGCAUUUUUGGGACAUGUUAUUUCUACUCAAGGCAUUCAAGUGGAUUCUCAAAAAGUGGCAGCUGUGGAGAAUUGGGAGCAACCUCGAACCGUUACCGAGGUACGGAGUUUUAUUGGCUUAGCAGACUAUUAUAGACGGUUCGUUAAGGAUUUUUCAGUGAUUGAUUUGCCAUUGACGAGGUUGACGUGAAAAAAUGUUAAGUUUGAGUGGGAUAAUAAAUGUGAGCAAAGUUUCCAGCAGUUGGAGUACUAUCUCACUCAUGCUCCUGUUUUAGCGCUUCCAGAUGAUAGCGGUAAUGAUGAGGUUUAUAGUGAUGCUUCUCUGAAUGGUUUGGGUUGUGUAUUAAUGCAACAUGGUAUGGUGAUUGCUUAUGCUUCGAGAUAGUUGAAACCUCAUGAGAAGAAUUACCCUACACAUGAUUUGGAAUUAGCAGCUAUCAUCUUUGCCUUGAAGAUUUGGAGACAUUAUCUUUAUGGUGAGAAAUGUAAGAUCUUUACAGAUCAUAAGAGUCUUCAGUAUUUGUUUACUCAAAGAGAUCUUAAUCUUUGACAGCGGAGGUGGAUUGAGUUACUUAGUGACUAUGAUUGCACGAUUGAGUAUUGUUUAUACCAUAUUUAGGGCCUCGUAUUUAGAUCUCGUACAAAUACUUAGGGGACUUAAAUGUAAUUAUGUGAUAAAAGAAGGGGCAAAUAUGUAAUAAGUAAGGAGUCCUUAUUCUAUAAAAGGACCCCUCACCUUCACAAUUGGGGAGAGCCUCAUUCUCACCCUCAGAGGCCAAUUCCUAGGCUCUCUCACCCCCUCUCAAAGCUCUCACUCUCAGAGCUCUCUCUCCCUCAGAUAAAUACAUAAUCAGUGUGGACGUAACCCAAAUUUUAGGGUGAACCACUAUACAUCUUGUGUUAUUUACAUUUCUUGCAGAUUCACAGUCGAAUUUACGUUGUUCCAAGAUCCCCGGUUUAUGCAUUAACAUUUGGCGCCGUCUGUGGGAAACGACAUGAAAAACUAUGUCGGUUCUUUCUCAAUUUUUCACCUCUACCGUGAAUCUGCAAAAUCUGCACACAAAAAAAAAACCCAGAAACCAAACACUCUAUCUCUCACUCGCCUAAUCCUUUUACAGAGGAGUCACAAAAAUUAAAACUCUCUCUAAAAAUCCAGUCUCUCUCUCCCCUGUUUCUCUCUCUAAACACACAGAGAGAAGGACAGCAAAGCCUUGUCGCAUUUCACAGCUCCAUGACCUCUCUUUCUCUCUUCUCUAACUCCUUGCUCGGCCAACGCCUAUUUCCCCCAACUCUGUACUCUGUCCUGACCAAGUUAACAUCAAAGCCUUGUCGAAAUGUAGGGAAGAAAUGACCGCCGCCGCAGCCAUUCGCUCCCACCAAGAUCUGGCGCUGCUGGCAUUGGAGGAUCAACGUGAACCAGAAGCGGUACGCCAUCGUUUCGACCAUUGCAGCUUCUGCCAUUCCUGAUCUUCCUCUUGUCGUCGGCGACUCAGCCGAGGGACAUGGAGAAAACCUCGGCAGCUUUGAAACUUCUGAAGCAGAUCGAGGCUUACGAUGACGCCGAUGAGGUGAAUGGCAGCCACGCGAUUCACCCCGGAAAGAGUAAGAUAAGGAAUAGCUGCAACAUUGGUUCUAGGAAACAGAUCCAUAUUUGGAUCUAGACUACGGACAUGUGGAUUCGAGACUUAAAGAAGCUCAAAAGCAGAAUAGCUGCGGCGCUCAAAUGGAACCAACAUAACUCUCUUCUUCUACUUCCAUGGCUGGUUCAAAUUUUGGAAUAAUGUUUUUGUAUGAAUGAUUAUAUCUCCGACGAGGGAGCUAUCUUCGCAAAUAUACAGUUCUACAGUGUCCAUGUUAUGGAAUAUGAAUUUGAAGCUCCUGUCAAGCUUUUGGACAAGAUGCUGCAUUCAAUGCCACAAUCACUAGAUUGGAGAUCAGAAAACUACAACAAGUUAGCGAUGCAGUGGAAGGAGUUCAACGAGCUAUGCCAAGUUAAGGUUCCAUCAUUCAGAGUCCAAUCAAGACAUGAUAACAAAGAGAAAGUGGAAACGAGGAGGCGGGUUGUUGUUACUUGCCUUCACCACACAUAUGAGGGAUAAUUUAUUUUGAUGAGCUCGGGUUUCUGAUCUUAGAUUGUGAGUGGUUCUGCGGCGAGGUGCUUGGCCAACUUAAUCACACGGUUGGCGAUGCUCCUGUGACUCACAUCGUUGCAAACGGUUGGAUGUCGGCGUUCCCCAUAGAUGUUGGUGUUUCUUUUCCAAUACCUAUUUUAGUACCGGGUGCACAUUCAUGACAGCUCAAAGACAGAAAGAGGUGCAAUAAACGGAGAAAGCAAAACCAUGCAGCAGAGAAAAAGAAAAUUUGCAAAGCAAAAGUGAAAAAAAAAGUUUUAAAAAAAAGAAAGAAAGAAAAAAGAAGAAAAACAAAAAUUUUCCUAUGAUUACGAUUCAUUUUUUUUGCCAGGUGAAGAGACAGAGAGAGUGGUGGAAAAGCAAAAGCAAAACAGAAAGCGAAAGAAAAAGCAAAGCAGAAAACAAAAGCAAAAGCAAAAGCAACGCACCAACGAUCUUUGUUUUUGUAUGAUGUAAUUUAUUUUUCUUAUCUUUCAAAGACAUCUGUAUAAACCCCAUCAGAUGGUAAUAAAAAAAAUUAAAAAAAUAUAAAAAAAAACGGCAAAGCCCACAAUAAAUGGGCUGGAAUGUUGUGUGGAGAGUGAAGUCCCAUAUGCCCAAAAGAGCCAGACCCUCUAUUAUCACCAAACAGGCGACCAAAAAUACGCCCAGUACUACAAAAAAUUAAUCGGCAACCUGCCACUAUUACCACUAACCAGGUGAUCAAAAGUACGCCCAGUACUCCAAAAUUAUUCAGCAACUUGCCAUUAUUAUCACCAACCAGGUGUUGAAAUGUACACCCCGUACUCUAAUAUCAUUUGGCAACUAGUCAUUCAUGCCACCAACCAGGUGAUGAAAUGUACAACCUGUACUCUAAAAUCAUUUGGCAACUAGACAUUCAUGUCACCAACCAGGUGAUCAAAAGUACGCCCAGUACUUCAAAUCAUACAUGAGCAUUACUCAUGUCAAUCAUACAUAAACAUUCAUGAGCAUCACUCAUCCAAUCAUACAUAAACAUUCAUGAGCAUCACUCAUGUCAACAUUCAUGAGCAUCACUCAUGUCAACAUCCAUGAGCAUCACUCAUGUCAAUCAACAUAAACAUUCAUGAGCAUUACUCAUGUCAAUCAGCUUCAAAAGCUUCAUUUACAGAGCUCCAGCUUCAAAGCUUUACUUGCAAAGCUUUACCUACAAAGCUUCAGUGCAGGGUAUACAAAUACUACCUCCGAACAACCGCCACUUCGGCCCAUACAUGGAUUCAAUUCAAAGUCACCAACCAACAGACUCUAUUGACCGAAUAUUUGGGGGACUACAUUAUGUACCAUAUAUUGGGCCUCAACUGGGCUUCAUGAAAAAUACUUGGGUGACUUAGCCCAUUAUUUAUGUAUUGAGGAGCGAGCCCUUAUUUUAUUAAAAUGAUUCCCUCACUUUCAUUAGAGAGCAUCAACUUUAGCCCAUCACUUAUGUAUUGAGGAGCGAGCCCUUAUUCUAUAAAAGGGACUCAUCACCAUCAUUAGAGAGCAUCAACUCUAGCACAUUAUUCAUGUAUUGAGGAGUGAUUCCUUAUUCUAUAAAAGGGACUCCCUCACCAUCAUUAGAAAGCAUCACCACCUACUAAGCAACCGCCUCGCCGCGAACAUCAACUAUAACCCAUCAUUCAUGUAUUGAGGAGCGAACCCUUAUUCUAUAAAAGGGACUCCCUCACCUUCAAAUGCCACAAGCCGAGCCAACCAAGGCAAUAUAAGCCACGAGCCGAGCAGCCUUGCAGUGUGUGCUACUUCUAGUUGAGCAUCAUUUUAGAUUGAGCAUUGCCUCAUAUCGAGCAUCAGUUUAAUACAACAUCCAGUUACUUCGACCCACACAUGGACUGAAUUUCAAGUUUCCAGCCAACAGACUCUCUUGACUGAAGACUUGGGGGACUACUGUUUAUACAAUAUUUAUGGCCUCUUAUUUAGAUCUCGUACAAAUACUUGGGGGACUUAAAUGUAAUUAUGUGAUAAGGGAAGGGGCAAACAUGUAAUAAGUGAGGAGUCCUUAUUCUAUAAAAUGACCCCUCACUCUCACAAUUAGGGAGAGCCUCAUUCUCACCCUCAGAGGCCAAUUCCUAGGCCCUCUCACCCCAUCUCAAAGCUCUUACUCUAAGAGCCCUCUCUCCCUCAGAUAAAUACAUAAUCAGUGUGGACGUAGCCCAAACCUCGGGGUGAACCAUGAUACAUCUUGUGUUAUUUACAUUUCUUGCAGAUUCACGGUCGGAUUUACGUUGUUCCAAGACCUCCGGUUUUGUGCAUCAACAAGUAUCAUCCUAGUCGUGCAAAUGCAAUGGCGGAUGCACUUAGUAGGAAGACUUCAGCCAGACUUAAUGCCAUUUAUGAUUGUCAUAUUCCUCUUCUAGCAGAUUUGAGGUCCACUGGAGUGGAGCUAGGAGUGGAAGAUCGAGAAGAAGCCUUGCUUGCUAAUUUUCAGGUUAGGCCAAUUUUGGUUGACCAUGUACUUGAGGCUCAAAUGAAUGAUGAAGAGACUCAAGAAAUAAUUCAAGCUAGGAACCAAGGCAAAAAGAAAGAUUUCGAGAUUCGAGAAACUGAUGGCAUGUUUAUGCAGGAAAGCAGAAUGUAUGUGUCGAAUAAUGCAGAGUUAAAGAAGGAAAUUUUGUAUGAAGCACAUAUUUCGGCAUAUGUGAUGCAUUCAGGAGGUACUGAGAUGUAUCAUACCAUUAGACCAUUUUAUUAUUGGCCGGGUAUGAAAAGAGAAAUUACCAAAUAUGUGAGUAGGUGUGCCAUUUGCCAACAGGUUAAAGCUGAAAGGAAAAAGUCGUUUGGGUUAAUGUAGCCAUUUCCCGUUCCACAGUGAAAAUGGGAAAAUAUUACUAUGGAUUUUGUGUACAAGCUCCCUCGUACACAUAAUGGUUAUGACGGCAUUUGGGUGGUAGUUGAUCGAUUAGCUAAGUUAUUUAUAUCGCAGAUUGUGAAGUAUCAUGGUGUGCCAGUUAAUAUUAUUUCUGAUCGGGAUCCUAGAUUUACUUCCAAGUUCUGGAUAGCAUUCCAAGAAGCUCUUGGUAUGAGAUUGCUUUAUAGUACUGCAUAUCAUCCUCAGACAGAUGGACAAUCUGAGAGGACCAUUCAAACAUUAGAGGUUAUGUUGAGAUCUUCAGUGCUGUAGUUUGGAGAUAGUUGGCAUGAUUGUUUGGAUUUGAUGGAGUUCACCUACAACAACAGUUACCAUUCGAGUAUUGGUAUGGCACCAUUUGAGGCACUUUAUGGGAAAUCUUGUCGUACACCUCUAUGUUGGUCAGAGGUUGGCGAAAGAGUUUUAGUGGGCCCUGAGAUUGUGGAGAUAACUACUCAAAAUGUUCUGGUAAUUAAGUCCAACCUGAAAGCGGCCCAAUAUCGACAAAAAAGCUUAGCAGACAUCUUAAAUUUCAGGUAGACGGGCCAUGGGCCCACUCCAACAACACCGAUACCGUCCCCAUUUGGCCAUCUGCUCAACCUAUCAGGUGUGGGGUUUUAAUACAAAAGGCCUCGGUAUUAGUUAGAGUGGGGUAAUUCUAUAUAAAUGGCUUGUUCUCAAGCCUUUUGGCCGAUGUAGGACAAAUGAAUUUUAACACUCCCCCGCACGUGAGACCCUAUUUUUAUGGGUCACACGUGGAGUUCCACACAUUGGCAACCACAUGGAGCCAAGCUAGGGCUCACCCAUUCGCGCUGGGCCAAUACACGUGGCAUCUUUUGGCCUACGUGGAGCCAAGUCGGGGCUCACCCAUUUGAGCGGGGCCAAAAGAGACCCAUCCAUUCACGUGGAUGUACGGACCUGUCCCCUGGCUUUGAUACCAUCUUAAAUUUCAGGUAGACGAGCCAUGGGCCCACUCCAACAACACCAAUACUAUACCCACUUGGCCACCUGCUCAAUUCGUCAGGUGUGGGGUUUUAAUACAAAAGGCCUCGGUAUUAGUUAGAGUGGGGUAAUUCUAUAUAAAUGGCUUGUUCUUAAGCCUUUUGGCCGAUGUGGGACAAAUGAAUUCUAACAAGAUAAACAUACCACUGAUCGGAAGUAUGAUGCAGGCGAUUGAGUAUUUCUGAAGCUAUCACCUUGGAAAGGUGUUAUACGAUUUGGAAAGAAAGGAAAGUUGAGUCCUAGGUACAUUGGACCAUAUAUGAUCACCAAGCGAGUCGGUGAGGUUGCUUACAAGCUUGAGUUGCCUCCAGAGUUGUCCAAGGUGCACGAUGUAUUUCAUGUUUCGAUGCUUCGGCUUUAUGUUUUGGAUCCUUCACAUGUGAUUCCUCCUCAACCCUUGGAAAUCAAUUCGGACUUGACUUAUGAUGAGGAACCAGUGACUCUAUUGGAUUGGAAGGACAAAGAACUAAGGAACAAGACAGUUCGUUUGGUAAAAGUGUUAUGGAGAAAUCAUUCAGUGGAAGAAGCUACUUGGGAGACAGAAGAUCGGAUGAGAGAGAUGUAUCCACGCUUGUUUUGUGAUUAUUAGUGGAUGUAUUUGUUAUGUAUAAUUUCGAGGAUGAAAUUUUAUAAGGUGGGGAUAUUGUCACAGCCCAUCCCGGAGAUGUACGUUAAUUAUGUUAUCGACGGUGUGAAAUUACCUAAAUAUCCUUGGAUGUUGAUAAUUAUUAUGGGAUGGGGUGGUUUAAACUUAAGAUUUUGGACCAAUUAAUUAUAUUCCUCUUUUAUUGGAUCCAAUUAGAACUAAGUGUUCUCUUAGUUGUGAUUGGUGUGCAUUUUGGGACCACACACACACCCCCAUCCUCUCUCUUUUCUCUCCCGUACUCUCUCUCGGUUUCACUCUCUCUCUCCUUGCUAUACUAUGGACAAGGGCAAGAACACCCCAAACUUCACAGAUCAAGGAAGAAAAUGGUACCAUUGUGUUCGUGAGGACUCUACGAGUUCAAAUGUAUCAAUUUCAGGUAAGGAAACCUUCGAUUUCACGUGGAAACCUUAGCCCCGAUUUUGGUCACUAUUCAUAUGGACGUAAAUAUGUUGGUUUCAGGGAAUUUCAAGCUCAUAGAGAGCUUUAGGAGGUCCUACGAAGCCUCGGGGUGGUUCGUUGGAUAAAUUUGGACAUCGGGAUAGCUAGUUUUGAAGUUGACUGGAUUACCAAGCUUUCUCAGGUAAAUUCUAGUGGAUUUCAAGGCUUAAAAUAGUAUAACAUGAUUCUACAUGUGGUUAGCUUUCCAAUGGUUCAAAUUUCAUGAAAAAUGGUGCAAAAAUGAAGAAGUUAGGACGAUUUUAAUAUUUUUCCAGAAACCGACGAAGUCACUGGCGACCGGCGACUCGCUGGAGAAGACAGAGGAAUCUUCCGUCAGUUUUGACAGAAUACGCUAACGCCGUCAGUUAGUUUGGACGGUUACCUUUGGGUUUAAAUGGAAUAUUCUGAGGAAUAUUCCUAACGUCGUUCAUGUUCUGUUACAUGUGCCUGGCACAUGGCCGUGCGUGGGGGGUGCAUUUUACCGUGCCCUUGCCGGCACGUGGCGGCUCAUGAGAGCUCGAAAAAUUUAUCUAAAAAUUUGGUGAUGAUCUUGAGGCUAUGUAGGUUACUGUGGUGUAUUCAUAUACCCAUAUAUACUCAUUUUGAGCAAUGUAUGAGAAGUUAUUAGCUAGUCUUGUCUAUGUGCUUUAAAAUAACAUUUUUAUAGUUAAUUAGCAUAUAUGUGAGACUUAUCCCGAGGACGAGCGUAUCCACGGGCGACUCGGGGGUUAUGACCCGUCGACAUACCAGUGAGUGGGCUUUUGUUGUCAGUAUAUAUUUAUAUACUUGAUAUAUUUCCCAGAAAUGCGUUUUUUUUAAGGAAAGUAUGCUUUGAAAUAAUAUGCCAAAUGCUUUUAUAUUCUGAAUAUGCAUUUCAUGGUUACAUAUAUAUAUAUAUAUAUAUAUAUAUAUAUAUAUAUAUAUAUAUAUAUAAAUGUGGUGCUGUGGAGGCACAGGUAAGUUCAGGUAAGUUAUGUUUGGCUAUGUGAAUCAUUGAUGAUGUGGUAUGUGAUGGAUUGAUGUUGAGCUCAUAAAACUGCACCUAGGGUGAUUGUGAUUUAGCCAGAGAUAUGAAGUACAUGCCUGUUUAUUUAUGUCACCUCCCGCACUAUAUGCUCAUAUUGGAUCCAACUUAAGUGCACAGUUUUGUCAUACAGACCUUAAUUAUGGUUCUGACUCGUAGGUGACUAGCGAUAUAUCGCCCGGCUAUUAUGAGAGAGUAAAAUUGAUCAUAACUAUAUUACACCCAAUCUUGUUGUACAUACCUUUUUAGUGGUUUCGACUUAUGUGCAUUAUAUUGCCGUAUAGGUCAUUGUAGUGACUCCGGCUAGAUUGACAUAGAGCUAUGAUUCAACCGUACAGACUAUCACAGGGGUUCCGGCUAACAUAUCAUAUUUCUAUGAAUUUAUUCUUACUUGGAUUGCUUACUCUGUUAUAUAUUGGCAUGUCAUAUAUUUGAAUAUGAUUAUGUGAAGCAUGAAUUAGAUUGAUAUGAUUUCAUAUAUAUAUAUAUAUAUAUAUAUAUAUAUAUAUAUAUAUAUAUAUAUAUAUAUAUAUUAUGUAUAUGCUUAUAUCCUGAUUCUGGGAAAAAUUAUACAUGUUUUAUAGCGAGGGGUUAGAUAUGUUGAUAAAUGAAAUGGUUUUGUAAAACAUUUGUUUUUGCCCACUCACGCUUUCUGUUUUACGCCCCUCCAGGUUUUAAGUAAGCUUGCUGUUGGUGACUUGAGGACGUCAACGGUUGUGACCUAUCUAAAUAAUAGUAGGACAUUCCUGGUACUGUAUAACUAGUACUUGUCCUACUGGACUGCACCUAGACUUAUUAUGCUCUGAUUAGGAGUGUUUACUGUUGUAACUAACUUCUAUCACUUCCUGUUUAGUAGUGCACUCUAGUAAUUUGGUUUUUAAUUAUUUGUAUAAUUCUUAUCUUUAUUGCUUCCGCACUGUGCACAUGGCUAUGUCGCUCUCACGUGACGGCCAUCAUACCUUGAUCUCGUUCGGGGUGUGUUAUUAAAGAUGAGUUAUGGGGAAGCUUUCGGUUUGUCUUUCAUACUUACGGCAGUUCUUGCUCCAUCAUAUAUAUCUUUUAUAACUUGAAUAUAUGCUAGUUGUACUCAUUUCUUCUCUAAAAUCAUUUUCUCUAAAAUCUUCCAAAGAAUGUCUCUUGGGACCUUAUCAUACACUUUUUCUAAAUCUAUAAAGACCAUGUGCAAAUCCUUUUUCAUAUCUCUAUAUCUUUCCAUCGAUCUUCGUAAAAGAUAAAUUGCCUCCAUGGUUGAGCGCCCUAGCAUGAACUUGAAUUGGUUGUUCGAGAUUCGUGUUUCUUGCCUCAGUCUAUGCUCAAUUACUCUCUCCCAGAGCUUCAUUGUAUGACUCAUUAACUUAAUACCCCUAUAGUUCAUGCAAUUUUGUAUGUUGCCCUUAUUCUUGUAGAUAGGCACCAAAGUGUUAUUUCGCCACUCAUUUGGCAUCUUCUUCGUUUUCAAAAUCCUAUUGAAAAGGUCUGUGAGCCAUGCUAUACCCAUCUUUCCCAAGACUUUCCACACUUCGAUUGGUAUAUCAUCUGGGCCCACUGCUUUUCUAUCCUUCAUCUUUUUCUAAGAAUAAUCUACAAAUACAACAACAACAACAACAACAACAACAAAGCCUUUUCCCACUAAGUGGGGUCGGCUAUA